AUUGAACGCUGGCGGCAGGCCUAACACAUGCAAGUCGAACGGUAACAGGAAACAGCUUGCUGUUUCGCUGACGAGUGGCGGACGGGUGAGUAAUGUCUGGGAAACUGCCUGAUGGAGGGGGAUAACUACUGGAAACGGUAGCUAAUACCGCAUAACGUCGCAAGACCAAAGAGGGGGACCUUCGGGCCUCUUGCCAUCGGAUGUGCCCAGAUGGGAUUAGCUAGUAGGUGGGGUAACGGCUCACCUAGGCGACGAUCCCUAGCUGGUCUGAGAGGAUGACCAGCCACACUGGAACUGAGAAACGGUCCAGACUCCUACGGGAGGCAGCAGUGGGGAAUAUUGCACAAUGGGCGCAAGCCUGAUGCAGCUAUGCCGCGUGUAUGAAGAAGGCCUUCGGGUUGUAAAGUACUUUCAGCGGGGAGGAAGGGAGUAAAGUCAAUACCUUUGCUCAUUGACGUUACCCGCAGAAGAAGCACCGGCUAACUCCGUGCCAGCCGCCGCAGUAA
rnacentral:rRNA from 1 species